rnacentral:tRNA from 1 species
GCGAGAUAGCUCAGUUGGUAGAGCAGCGGACUGAAAAUCCGCGUGUCGACAGUUCGAUUCUGUCUCUCGCC